rnacentral:tRNA from 1 species
GCGAAGGUGGCGGACUUGGUAGACGCGCUAGCUUCAGGUGAUAGUGUCCUUACGGACGUGGGGGUUCAAGUCCCCCCCCUCGCACCA